rnacentral:rRNA from 1 species
AGAGUUUGAUCCUGGCUCAGGAUGAACGCUGGCGGCGUGCUUGAUACAUGCAAGUCGAACGGUUGAGCGGUGGGAAGAAGCCCUGGAAGUUGUGGAAUAUGAGAAAUCGUAGGAAGCGACGGAAGAGGUGGGCGCUCUGAGCUUGACAGUGGCGGACGGGUGAGUAACACGUAGGAAUCUGCCCCGAGGUGGGGAAUAACUGACCGAAAGGUCAGCUAAUUCCGCAUAAGAUCCGGAAGGAUGAAAGGCGCGAGUCGCCUUGGGAUGAGCCUGCGGCCGAUUAGCUAGUUGGUGGGGUAACGGCCCACCAAGGCGAUGAUCGGUAGCUGAUCUGAGAGGAUGGUCAGCCACACUGGAACUGAGAGACGGUCCAGACUCCUACGGGAGGCAGCAGUAAGGAAUAUUGCACAAUGGGCGAAAGCUUGAUGCAGCAACGCCGCGUGCGCGAUGAAGGCCUUCGGGUCGUAAAGCGCUUUUCCGGGGGAAGAGGAAGGACAGUACCCCGGGAAUAAGUCUCGGCUAACUACGUGCCAGCAGCCGCGGUAAGACGUAGGAGGCGAGCGUUAUCCGGAUUUACUGGGCGUAAAGGGCAAGUAGGCGGCAGCGAAAGUUGUGUGUGAAAUCUCCCGGCUCAACUGGGAGGGAGCGUGCAAAACUAGGCUGCUAGAGGGCAGAAGAGGAGAGCAGAAUUCCUGGUGUAGCGGUGGAAUGCUCAGAUACCAGGAGGAAUACCAGUGGCGAAGGCGGCUCUCUGGUCUGAACCUGACGCUGAGAGGCGAAAGCUAGGGGAGCGAACGGGCUUAGAUACCCCGGUAGUCCUAGCUGUAAACGUUGGGUACCAGGUAAUGGGGGGUAUAAACCCUCAGUGCCGAAGCAAACGCGUUAAGUACCCCGCCUGGGGACUACGGCCGCAAGGUUAAAACUCAAAGGAAUUGACGG